UCAGCGAUGAGGCGCUAAUCCCAUAAAGCCGGUCUCAGUCCGGAUCGCAGUCUGCAACUCGACUCCAUGAAGUUGGAAUCGCUAGUAAUCGCGGAUCAGUACGCCGCGGUGAAUACGUUCCCGGGCCUU
rnacentral:rRNA from 1 species